rnacentral:ncRNA from 1 species
GAUAUAGAGGCGCGACGCGCGAAUAGUAGUUACCCGGAGACAACGGUGUCGAUGAUGGGGCGCGAAAGGCACGGUCGCCGAAAUCCUUUGCCUGACCGUCAGGCGAUUGGUUGGACGUACGGGAAAUACCCGUGCGGCUGUCGCAGUUUUUGCGGAGUGCUAU